AUGGCAUUAGAAAGGAACCCAAAUGGCCGGAGGUGGAACAAGGAAAUUAUACGGUUGUGUUUAACUUUGUACUGCAGGAGUCCAAGGGGCUAUAGUGAAUUGAGAAAUAGCAAUUUUAUAAUAUUACCAUCCCAAAACUUGCUUCGACGUUAUAAAAACUCUGUUUAUCAAGAGGCAGGCAUUAAUAGUGAUAUGUUAGAUUGGAUGGCAAAUGAAGCAACAAUGAAAGGUAUACCCCCUGAGGGAUAUCAAGGUGGACUUAUUAUAGAUGAAAUGUCUAUUCAACAAGAUUUGCAAUUUCGCAAGCGUAAACACAAUAUAGAGCUGAUUGGUUUCACUGAAUGUUCACCAGAGUCAAUUAUAUUUGAGCAAAUAAAGAGUAAUAAAAAAGAAAGAACUCUUGCUACACAUGUUCUUCAAUUAGUUUUCUUAGGAUUUACAGGUUUCCGUUUUCCAUUUGCACAUUUUCCUUCUCAUACUGCAUCAGGACAUGAACUUUACUUACUUGUAUGGAAAUCAGUUAAUAUGUUAUCUGCAUUUGGAUUUACAAUUCAAUAUAUCAGUACUGAUGGGGCACAAAGCAAUAGAGACCUUUUCAAAAUUUUGUUACCAAACUUUAACAGUAUAAAUGCAAUCACAUGCUCUUUUCAAAACAUUUUUUUCUCCCAAGGACAGCCAAAAAUUAUUUUUUAUCAUGGACAUUUGCCAUACUAUUAAGAAAAUAAGGAAUAACAUUUCUAAAAGUGGAGAUGGUGCUUUUAGUAAACGGAGGUUAAAGUUUAAGAACAAUUUUAUAGAAUGGACUCACUUUAAACAGGCUUAUCUAUGGGACAUUUCAACGAACCCAUUCCCAGUUCAUCAUAAACUGACACAAGAACACAUGUUCUUAACAUCAGAAAAUAAAAUGAGGAAUCAUUUAGCAGAGGACGUUUUAAAUAGUGAAAUGUUACAUUUGAUGAAACUUUACAAGUCAAGCUUAGGUGAUGCUGGAACAAAGGUUGAUGCAACCAUAGAAUUGCUACAGCAAACAAGCGUGCUCAUCCAAAACUUCAAAGACUCGCGUCCUAUAAACAGAUGUAAGCGAUGA
rnacentral:sRNA from 1 species